ACGUGGUAUCCUUGCCUUAUGAACUCACCAAUGCCAUGCCUUGGCAUGGUCUUACAUGGGACCUUCGCCUUAUAGUAACUCCUCAAUGCCAUGUCUUGACAUGGUCUUACAUGAUUUCCUUGCCUUAUAGAAUUUAUCAAUGCCAUGCCUUGGCAUGGUCUUACAUGAUAUCCUUAUCUUACCAAAUACCAUGUUCCAAACAUGGUCUUACAUGGUAUCCUUGUCUUAGUGCCAAUGCCACAUCUUGAUGUGGUCUUACAUGGAGUCCUUAAUCAAUGCUGAUGCCAUGUCUUGACAUGGUCUUACACGGGAUCCUUGCCUUACCAAUGCCAUGUCUUGACAUGGUCUUAUAUGGUAUCCUUAACCGUCAAUUCCUCCUUAAAUGCCAUGUUAUGAACAUGGACUUUUCCGUCAAUUCUUCCUUAAUUGCCAUGGUACAACCAUGGACUUUGAGAUAUCAAUGCCUUGUCGAGUCAUAGCUGAAACAUACUUGCUCAAAUUCUCAAGGUUAGUCGCAUAACUCAAUAAUAACAAUACUAAUAACAAUAAUUGCAUAAUAAUAAAAUGCUACUCAACUUACAUUCUUACAUUCUCAAUCUCAUCAUAUCAUCAACUUAACUUAUUAUCAUCAAACUAUGCUAGUCAAUACUUCCUUUUUAUCAUACAGAGCCAUAAUACAAAAUAUGGUCUUACAUAUAAAUUAUACAAGUUCUCUUUCCAAUAUCGAAUUAUUAUCGAACAUUAAUCAUUAUUUCUGAAACUCAAUACUAAAGUAUUUAUGGCCAAAAUAUCAAUUUAUCAUUCAAAUAUGCAUAACUAAAUGCUUAUUAAACAUAUGAACUUACCUCGAUACCAUAACAACCAUUUUACCAACUUUCCCGAUUUUCGAUUUUCGAUUUUCGAUUUUUCUCUCGUUCUAGGUCCAAAUCUCACUUUUUGGGAUCUAAAUCAUAUUUCACUUAUUUAAUUAAUGUACUAUUCAAAACAUUCCCUAACUCAAACUUUGGAAAAAUUACAAUUUUGCCCCUAAACCUUUACAAAAUUACGAUUUUGCCCCUAGGCUCUGAAAUUAAAAUUUAUCCAUUUUUACUAUGUUUUAUGACACGCUAAACAUUUUUUCCUUUUAUAGAAACAUCAAAUUUCCACUCUAUCAUGUACUUAUGAACAUCAGGUAUUUUUAUCGAUUAUGUCAUUUUACUCGUUUUCACUUAAAAUCGCUUAGCAAAAGUUGUUUUACAUAAUUUCAAGCUUUAUAUUCUACCAUAAAACAUCAAAAUAAACACAUUUAACCUAUGGGUAUUUUUCCAAAUAUGAACCCCUAGCAAGAAUUAUUGCUAGAAUAAACUAAAUCAAGUUACCGGGACUCCAAAAACAUAAAGAACAUUAAAAAUAAGGCUAGAACGGACUUACUAUUAAGCUUGGAAAGCUUGGAAACCCUAACCAUGG
rnacentral:lncRNA from 1 species